CUCUUUCUCUGGUGGUGGUGAGUGGUGGUGGUAAUUAAAUGAAGGAAUAUUUAGAAGAAGAGGAAGGAACUGAGAAAAUAAGAUCGUAUGGAUUAAUAGUAGUAGUAGUAGUAGUAGUAGUAGUAGCAUACUACUACUACUACAACUACUACUACUACUGCUACUACGACGGCGACGACGACGACGACGACUGCGACUACUACUAAUAAUAAUAUACUUCUAAAUAAUAGGAGUUGCCGAUCCAAAGGCCUUGCUCAGGAGUGAUCCUGUGCUACCUGUACCAUCAACAUCAAGAUCAAGAUUUAUAAUUUGCCUCUCACAUCACUAACCUUGCUAACUGGGGGCUUCCGCUAUGCUAUCCUAACUGAACAAGUUGAAGUUUAUGGGAGCUUGUAACGACAUUGACCGGGCUGUGCUGAAGUGUCUGGAUGCUGAGGGAAGGCAGGUGGGGUGCCCAGAUGAUGGGUCUCCAGUCAUCUGUGUGCAUCAUUACCUGUGCUGACGGCUCCAGGCAUCUUGUGGUGGCUGGCAUACAUGGCAGGCUGGUGGAGGUCGAGUGACUGCUAGCCAGUGCCAAACAAGUGAGGGAGAGGCUAGACGCUGAGGGCUUCCUGGUUUUCGUCCUGCUGCCUAUCAAGAAGAGAGAAGGCUUCCUCAAGUGCCUUAUCACCACCAAACAGUACCAAGAGAUGUGCUCCUGAGAUGCCUCCUCCCGCCAACUGUUGUUUCUUGUAUUUCUUAGCUGUUGCUCUGCUGCUUGUUGUUUUGUCAUGUCCUCAGUUUCCUGGGAACCUUUUGAGUCAUUACUUUGCUGUAUGUUCUCAGUUUAAGCUCUAGGGUCAUUGAUUUAUUAUUUUCAUCAUUGUGUACUCUUAUUGUUCUCUUCUCAGUCAGUUAUGAAGUUCUAGUUACACACUGAUGAAAAUGUUAUUGUAAGUGUUGAAUCAAGUAAUGAGCAUCAUAACACAUUCAUUCCCACUCUAAGAAGAAUUUUUCCUUCAGUCUCAGCUCCUCCACUCUGCUGCCAAUCUAAGAAAGCUAAAUAGAUUCGCAGCAGAUGAGAGAACUUGAGAAUGAGGGAAGAAGCUAAACAGACAACAUUCCUCCCUCAGUCUCAGCUCCUCCACUCUGCUGCCAGUGUAAAAGAUUAUCAACAGAUCAGAGGACUAGAGAGUGAGGGAAGGAGCUGAACAAAGGAAGUGAUGCUUGACUUGCCACCCAGACAGCACACUCCUUCACUUUGUUGUUGUUGUGACGGGUCUGAGCCAAGCACAGUGCAUGGGCAGUGAGGAAGCCAAGUGCUCGUAUGUUACUGCCAUAUAUUGAUAACUUUGGAGGUUGUCUGUUGUUAUUUGAGAGGUUUUUGAAGGUUGUAGAUUUUUAGAUUACUGUCAGAUAGUGUUAGUUUAAGAUUAACUGAUGGUAUUACUUGUAGAUUAAUGUCAGAUGUUUUACAAUUUGGUUCCCUGUGGUUAGUGGUGUACUUCAGAGAUUUUUGCAGUUAUAGUGUUGUUAACUCCUGUAUUUGAUAGAUUAUUUUAAAGUUAGUAAUGAUUAGUCUGAUGUUCAUAACUUGGUGGUUUUGUGGAUUUGUUAGUGUACUUGAGGUUGUCGUAGUGAUACUAUUAAUUGUGUGGGCUGAUUUCAAAAUAUUUCAAGCCUUAUUUGUUUAGUUAAUGAAUAUGUAUUGCUAUUUUCUAUUACCCUCAAGUCUUCCAUAAGGGGACCUGAUGAACUGUAAGCCACACAGUACAAUACAUAUAACAUCUAAGUGAGUUAAAUAUUAGAACCCAUUAUGGAGGACAUGAAGGCAAUGCAAUACAGUACAAUAGAAAACCACAGAGUUAUGAGAAUAGACAUGUGCAGUAGUGACCUAUUAGUACUUGGCUCAGGUCUGGAUGGGAGGAUGCCAGAGAGAAAUGUAUUGGCACUUAGUUAAAGGAAGGAAUAAUAAAUGAAUAGGAGUUAUGAGUGGUAUAUGUGGAUGUCACCAGAAAUCACAAGAUGUACACACAGGAAAAAUCAGUUUAUUGGAUUUUGGAUUUGUUGUAGUUAUGCAUAAAAAUGAGAAAAAUUAAUAAAAACCAAAUAAAUAUCAA